GCGCCGGUGGUAUAAGUCACAGCAUUGCUGCUCGGAAAGCAAAAGGUGCGGGUUCGAGUCCCGCCUGGUGCA
rnacentral:tRNA from 1 species